UCAAAUAUGCAGAGAAACCUGGAGAAAUGUGUAUUUGGACCCUCAAUACAGUUAAUCACAGAAUAAAAAAUUAGACAAUUGAUAAAUUAACAUUCACAUGAACAGAGACACAAGGGUAAAAAUGGUCCUGUUAUUAAGUCCUGUCUACUGAAUGUUGCACAGGGUCAUGCACUGGGAAAUAGUCUUGACUGAAAGGAGGCAGGAUCUUCAGCUAUGCUGCUCUAAGCCAAAGGUGGAGUAGUAAUUCCACCUUGAGUCAAAUUUCUCCUAAAAGAUGAAUCAGUGAUGUUUUGUCUAACCCUAGAAAUAUGAGUAAGGCACUGACUGCACUUAUCCCCAACGUGGUGAAAACAAGUUAUGGAAAGGUCAGAUGACAAAUGUCAGCCUUUAUAAACUCCCCUAACAUAGCAACAGCCAAUCACAUGAACUCAAUUCAGACCCUCUUUUCAUUUCAGAUACCAGCAACUUUCAAAAGCCAUAAAUGAACAUUCUCCUUGAGAAACAAAGGACUGCAUAUGCUGGAAUCUAGAUGAAUCUCUUCUAUAAACCCACUGAUGCCCACAGUUGCUGACUGACUUGAUGACCCCAGGAUCUGCUGGAACAAGCACCUCAUUACUCAUUGCAUACACUUUGUUUGAAGCUACAGGCUCCUGUUCUCCCACUGGCCACAAGUUAAAUCAGAGAUCUGCCAGAGGUCAUUGUGGAGGUUACCGGUGUGACAGUUUGCCACAGAGAGAAUGUAUCCAAACUCAUGCCUGUUGGUGAGGUACAUGAAGAUUCC